GGUAUGGAAGUUUCUACCGAUUUCCAAACCCACAAAUGUAUCCAGAAAUAUAUCAAAGAUGGGUUUUAUGUUGUGUGCGAGAAAACCUGCUUCAGUGUGAACACUUCAGGGUUUAUAAUAAUUUUCGAGUUUGUGAUAAGCCUUUUCGACGAGAGGAUGUGGGACGUAACAACAAAUUGUUGAAAGGAGUAGUACCAUCAUUAAAUUUGCCAGAUAUCAGUACUUCAAGUGCUUCGAAUAACACGCCCACUACUCCACAUGCAGAUAUGGGACUUUAGGUUGCUUCAACAUCCACCAGUGCAAUCUCAUUGGAGACUUCAGUUUGAUUUCAUAUUACUGGGUAACCCCGCUUAAUGGGGAAACAGCGUUAAUCGGGAUCAUUAUUGGAUAUUUUUUGACAGCUAAACAAAGGGAGAGUUUAUUGGAGGAAGUUGGUGUC